GAUGAACGCUAGCUACAGGCUUAACACAUGCAAGUCGAGGGGUAACGAGAGGAAAGCUUGCUUUCCUUGUCGACGACCGGCGCACGGGUGAGUAACGCGUAUCCAACCUGCCCCCAACUAGGGAAUAACCUUGCGAAAGUAAGACUAAUACCCUAUAAUUUCCUCAGAUGUCAUCUGACGAGGAAUAAAGAUUUAUCGGUUGUGGAUGGGGAGGCGUCUGAUUAGCUUGUUGGCGGGGUAACGGCCCACCAAGGCAACGAUCAGUGGGGGUUCUGAGAGGAAGGUCCCCCACAUUGGAACUGAGACACGGUCCAAACUCCUACGGGAGGCAGCAGUGAGGAAUAUUGGUCAAUGGGCGGAAGCUUGAACCAGCCAAGUAGCGUGCAGGAUGACGGCCCUAUGGGUUGUAAACUGCUUUUAUACAGGAAUAAAGUUAGCCACGUGUGGUUAUUUGUAGGUACUGUAUGAAUAAGGACCGGCUAAUUCCGUGCCAGCAGCCGCCGUAA
rnacentral:rRNA from 1 species